CGGGGCGUAGCGCAGCCUGGUAGCGCACCUGCUUUGGGAGCAGGGGGUCGGAGGUUCGAAUCCUCCCGCCCCGACCA
rnacentral:tRNA from 1 species